rnacentral:misc_RNA from 1 species
GAAAUGCGAUAAGUAAUGUGAAUUGCAGAAUUCAGUGAAUCAUCGAAUCUUUGAACGCACAUUGCGCCCGCCAGCACUCUGGCGGGCAUGCCUGUUCGAGCGUCAUUUCAACCCUCAGAACCCCUUGCGGGAUCUGGCGUUGGGGAUUGGCAUCCAGCCAGCCCCGAAAUCUAGCGGCGGUCCCUCCGCGACCUCCCCUGUGCAGUAGCGAUACCUCGCAGCGGGACAGCGGUCUGACCACGACGUAAAACCCCCAACUUCUCAAGGUUGACCUCGAAUCAGGUAGGAAUACCCGCUGAACUUAAGC